AAAGAAAAAGCUAUCAUUUUUCUCUUCUCCUUCACCGAAAUAUGCAGCAAAGAAAGGGUUUUGAAGCUGGAAAAUUUCAGCAACAUAUUUCCCUUGCUUGUAAGUGAUUUUAAUGUCUUUGCUUGAUGAUUUUUACAUUUUUGGAACCCCUAAAGCAUGAGCUUUCAUAAGAGGGGACUAUUUUGCAAAAUGAUGAAGAGUCUAGGGUUUUGCCAUGAGAGUAAAUGUGUUGUUUGCUGUGUUUUUAUGGAAGAUUAUGAGUCCUAGUUGUCUAAUAAACAACUUUUGUGAAAGAAAUUACAUGAAAACACCUUAAAAAAGGGCUAGAUUGCUAAGUUGUAAAAUAAGUUGUAAUGUGUAAAAUAGUUAAAAUUAUGAGUUGCUAUAGUUAUGAAAAUGGUUCAUCUAGACUCAAGGAGUAAAGAAAUGUGAUAAAAAUUAUUUACGAGCAUUGAGGCAAAAGUGCAAAUAUGCAAAAGUUUAGGGGUCAAAAUGAAAAUUUGUAAAAAUAUGAUUUUUAUACCCAUAUGAAUAUUGUGACUGAUUGGUAGGCUAAAUGUGAUAUUAUAGAUCAAGAAAAUCGAGAUUUGGACCUAGAACAGAAAGAAAUCGAUUAAGGGAUGAUUAUGUCCUUUUCACCUUUGUGGUAUCGAGGUAAGUUUGUAUGUAAACAAUACCAUGCUAUACAUGUAUUUAAAUGUUAUCAUUACAUGAAUUGUACAGAUGUUAAGUGUAUGUGAUUAAUAGAAAUAUGAUAAGACAAAGCCUUAAUAGACGAGGAAAAAUCCCGUUUGAACCUUAGAAAUAGAAUAGGAUACGAGUGACAUGUCACUAGGAAUUAUGAGUCUAGAUGACUAGCUCGAGAGUGAGCAUUGAAACGUCAUGAGAUAUGAGGUAGCUUUAGCUACAAUUGAGGCACUUAUGUGUAAAGGCUUUUCCGAGUAUCCAAUUAGUAUUCCAAGUGUUCAACGGGUAAUCCAAGGAAAGAGUUGAUGAUGGUCCCAACGAGGUAAGUCAUUGGUGAGUAUACACUUGAGUUAUGUUACGAGUUGUGCAAGUAUGUAUAUUAAGCCUAUGAGAAUGCCUUGAUAUGUGAUGAUCUAUGAUGCAUAAUAUGUGUUCUUACCAUGAUGGAUGAAAUGAUGUUGUAUUAAUUUUGUGAACAAUGAUCAUGAAUGAGUAACUUAGCCUUGACAGAUUUGAGUUACUGUAGUAGUGAAACUUUGAAAAUACACUAAAAAUAGUGGAAAAUUAGUUAGAGGUAGAAUAAAAUAUGAGAUUAAAGCUUAAUGAGUCUAUUUUCACAUGAAAGAAACAGGGGAAGAAAAAGAAUUCUAUAUUGUGUGAUAUUUGAAUUCUUGUAAAACAGGGUCUGAAUGAAUUCGAGAUCCCCUAUUCUAAUUUUAGAAAUUCAUCAUAAAUUGUAAAAAAAUUAUUAAGAGUCAUACCUUAGAUACAUGGAUUCCUUAUUGAGUCUAUUUUUAAGGGAAACAAAUGGCAUUGUCAUUGGAAUUCUGUACAGGGAGAAAUUUGGUUUGUAGUGCACAAGGGUCAGAGUGGUCAUACCCUGAAACAGGGGAGACUUUAACUAAUAAACUGUACUAAAUGGCUUGACCAAAAAUUCUAUAAAAAAAUUAGUAAUUAUACAUAUGAGUAUAGUUUCAAGAUAAAUAGACGAGAACAUUAUUCGAAUUCUGUACUAUGAGAUAAUUGAACUUUAGUGCAGAAGGGUUUAAACUGUCAGACAGUGAAUCAGGGGCAAACUUGAGGAAUAAAUUAUACGAAUUGGCUAAGUCAAAAAUUCUGAAAAUUUUAUGAAAGAAAUAUAAAUGAGUCUAGUUUCAUGGAAAAUUAACGGAACUUAAUUUGGAGUUUCGUAGCUCCAGAUAUAAAUAAUUUAGUGACUAUUGCUCAGGAAGACAGCUUGCAGUAAAUUUGAGAAUAUGUUGUAAACAUUGAUAAAACAAGUUAAUGAGUUGCUUAUUGUUUUCAUAUGAACUUACUAAGCGAAAGCUUACCCCCCCUUCUUUCCCAUGUUUUCUAGAGUUUCCAGGUUAGCUUGGGUUGGAGGCCGUCAGAGAUAUUAUCACACUGUCGAGUUAACGCUAUCGGCGUAAGUAAACUCAAGUGAUUCUAGUCUAUGGCAUGUAUAGGGUUUUAAUGUGAGUAUGUAAUAUUAUGAUUUAGCCAAAGGCAUUGGCUUGUUAUUAAGGUAGUAUUAGUCAUGUAAAUUGGCCUAUGUCGGCUAAUAUCGUUAUGGGCCCAUAUGAUUAUUCUUAUGCAUGUAUGUUAUUAUCUCUUGUGAUGUGGCUUACAACAUGUAUGCCUAGAGAUUGAAUUGAGAUUCAUUGAUGAGCUAAUAACUAAUGCAGGAUUAAGUGAUUGGUAAAUAGUUAAUAAUGCUUCAUGAAUGGUUUGUGGAUAUGAUUAUGCAUGCUUUGUGAUGGACAUGAGGU
rnacentral:lncRNA from 1 species